UACGUAGGUGGCAAGCGUUGUCCGGAAUUAUUGGGCGUAAAGCGCGUGUAGGCGGCUUGGCAAGUCGGGUGUGAAUCCCUCAGCUCAACUGAGGAAGUGCGCCCGAACUGCUUGCUUGAGUGUCGGAGAGGAUGGCGAAUUCCCGAAGUAGAGGUGAAAUUCGUAGAUAUGGGGAGGAACACCGGUGGCGAAGGCGGCCAUCUGGACGACAACUGACGCUGAGACGCGAAAGCGUGGGUAGCAAACGAGGA
rnacentral:rRNA from 1 species